AUUGAACGCUGGCGGCAUGCCUUACACAUGCAAGUCGAACGGUAGCGGGCCUUCGGGUGCCGACGAGUGGCGAACGGGUGAGUAAUGUAUCGGAACGUACCUUUCAGUGGGGGAUAACGUAGCGAAAGUUACGCUAAUACCGCAUAUUCUGUGCGCAGGAAAGCAGGGGACCUUCGGGCCUUGCGCUGAUUGAGCGGCCGAUAUCAGAUUAGCUAGUUGGUGAGGUAAAGGCUCACCAAGGCAACGAUCUGUAGCGGGUAUGAGAGGAUGAUCCGCCACACUGGAACUGAGACACGGUCCAGAAUCCUACGGGAGGCAGCAGUGGGGAAGUUUGGACAAUGGGGGCAACCAUGAUCCAGCCAUGCCGCGUGAGUGAAGAAGGCCGUCGGGUGGUAAGGCUCUGUCGGCCGGGAAGAAAUCGCACGGGCUAAUACCCUGUGUGGAUGACGGUACCGGAAUAAGAAGCACCGGCUAACUACGUGCCAGCAGCCGCCGCCGUGA
rnacentral:rRNA from 1 species